GCUGGGCAUGGUGGCUUGUGCCUGUAGUUCCAGCUACUUGGGAGGCAGAGGUAGGAAAAUUGCUUGAGUUCAGGAGUUCUGGGCUGUAGUGCACUAUGCCAAUCGGGUGUCUGCGCUAAGUUCAGCAUCAAUAUGGUGGCCUCGCAGGAGUAGGGGACCACCAGGUUGCCUAAGGAGAGGUGAACCAGCGCAGGUUGGAAAUAGAGCAGGUCAAAAUUCCCAUGCUGAUCAGUAGUGGCAUCACACCUAUGAAUAGCCACUGCAUUGCAGCCUGUGCAAAAUAGUGAGACCUGUCUCUU
ensembl:misc_RNA Metazoa_SRP Metazoan signal recognition particle RNA